rnacentral:rRNA from 1 species
GACGAACGCUGGCGGCGUGCUUAACACAUGCAAGUCGAACGAAGUGGCGAACGGGUGAGUAAUACGUGAGUAACCUGCCCUCCUUUUUGGGAUAAGCCUUGGAAACGGGGUCUAAUACCGAAUAAAGGGGGAUGGGCUCGCGGCCUAUCAGCUUGUUGGGGGGGUGAUGGCCUACCAAGGCGGUGACGGGUAGCCGGCCUGAGAGGGGGACCGGGGACAUUGGGACUGAGAGACGGCCCAGAGUCCUACGGGGGGCAGCAGGGGGGAAUAUGGCACAAUGGGGGAAACCCUGAUGCAGCAACGCCGCGGGCGGGAUGUCGGCCUUCGGGUUGUAAACCGCUUUCAGCCAUUACGCGGUAGUGGCAGAAGAAGCACCGGCUAACUACGUGCCAGCAGCCGCGGUAAUAC